rnacentral:rRNA from 1 species
CCUACGGGAGGCAGCAGUGAGGAAUAUUGGUCAAUGGGCGAGAGCCUGAACCAGCCAAGUAGCGUGAAGGAUGAAGGAUCUAUGGUUUGUAAACUUCUUUUAUAUGGGAAUAAAGUGAGGCACGUGUUCCUUUUUGUAUGUACCAUAUGAAUAAGGAUCGGCUAACUCCGUGCCAGCAGCCGCGGUAAUACGGAGGAUGCGAGCGUUAUCCGGAUUUAUUGGGUUUAAAGGGAGCGUAGGUGGUUAAUUAAGUCAGCGGUGAAAGUUUGUGGCUCAACCAUAAAAUUGCAGUUGAAACUGGGUGUCUUGAGUACAUUUGAGGUAGGCGGAAUUCGUGGUGUAGCGGUGAAAUGCAUAGAUAUCACGCAGAACUCCGAUUGCGAAGGCAGCUUACUAAACUAUAACUGACACUGAAGCACGAAAGUGUGGGUAUCAAACAGGAUUAGAUACCCGAGUAGUC